GUUAGGUAAAUGUUCCAUGAUAAUGGGUUAGGUAAAUGUUUCAUGAUAAUAGGUUAGGUAAAUGUUCCAUGAUAAUGGGUUAGGUAAAUGUUUCAUGAUAAUGGGUUAGGUAAAUGUUUCAUGAUAAGAAUAUCAUGUCUUUUGUAUUAAAGAAUUAAAUGGAUGAAAUAUGAAGUUUUAUUAAAAGAAAAAGGGGUGAAAAGAACAAAGUUUUGUCCAUCUUUGUUCAUCAUAGCUGAAAGUUAGAGAAGAGAAAAGAGAGGAGAAAGCUCUUGAGUAUUUGGUCAUUAGGAGGAGGAAAAUUGAAGGAAAUCCCCAACCAUAGUGGGCUUGGAGCUGUGAGGGAAUUCGGAGUGGCCACCCGUUCUGAAAGUUUGAUUUUCUUCUGGUGAGCCUUAGAUCGAUGGACUUGGAGCUGGGCGGGAUUCAGAGUGGCCACGAAGAUUAAGUUUUGUUUCUUUAAAAUAAGUUUCGCAUUUAUUAUUUUGAUUAUUUUUAUUCUGGUUAAAGUUGUAAUAAGGCCGCUCUUUUGAUUAUUUUUAAUAUUUUGGGUUAUUAAAUUGGUUAGCUCUAGGGCGCGUUUUAUAAAA